rnacentral:misc_RNA from 1 species
UCACUACUUGCGUAGGCAGUCUGGCUAGAGUCCCCACCAUUACGUGCUGGUAACUAACCACAGGGGUUGCGCUCGUUGCGCCACUUAAGGCAACACCUCACGGCACGAGCUGACGACAGCCAUGCAGCACCUUCCCAGGCGCCCCGAAGGGAAACUCCGUUUCCGGAGCGGUCGCCUGAGAUUUAGCCCAGGUAAGGUUCUUCGCGUUGCAUCGAAUUAAGCCACAUGCUCCACCGCUUGUGCGGGCCCCCGUCAAUUCCUUUGAGUUUCAUUCUUGCGAACGUACUCCCCAGGUGGUGUGCUUACUGCGUUAACUGCGUCACUGACUCGCCUUGCGGCUAAAGCCAACAACUAGCACACAUCGUUUACAGCGUGGACUAC